rnacentral:rRNA from 1 species
AUUGAACGCUGGCGGCAGGCCUAACACAUGCAAGUCGAACGAGUGGCGGACGGGUGAGUAAUGUCUGGGAAACUGCCCGGUGGCGGGGGAUAACUACUGGAAACGGUAGCUAAUACCGCAUACCAUCGGAUGUGCCCAACUGGGAUUAGCUAGUUGGUGGGGUAAAGGCUCACCUAGGCGACGAUCCCUAGCUGGUCUGAGAGGACGACCAGCCACACUGGAACUGAGACACGGUCCAGACUCCUACGGGAGGCAGCAGUGGGGAAUAUUGCACAAUGGGCGAAAGCCUGAUGCAGCCAUGCCGCGUGUAUGAAGAAGGCCUUCGGGUUGUAAAGUACUUUCAGCGAGGAGGCGUUACCCGCAGAAGAAGCACCGGCUAACUCCGUGCCAGCAGCCGCGGUAAUAC